rnacentral:rRNA from 1 species
UACAGAGGGUGCAAGCGUUGUUCCGAAUUAUUUGGCGUAAAGCGCGUGUAGGCGGCUUUGCAAGUCGGGUGUGAAAGCCCUCAGCUCAACUGAGGAAGUGCGCCCGAAACUGCAGAGCUUGAGUGCCGGAGAGGGUGGCGGAAUUCCCCAAGUAGAGGUGAAAUUCGUAGAUAUGGGGAGGAACACCGGUGGCGAAGGCGGCCACCUGGACGGUAACUGACGCUGAGACGCGAAAGCGUGGGGAGCAAACAGG